UACGAAGGGGGCUAGCGUUGCUCGGAAUCACUGGGCGUAAAGGGUGCGUAGGCGGGUCUUUAAGUCAGGGGUGAAAUCCUGGAGCUCAACUCCAGAACUGCCUUUGAUACUGAGGAUCUUGAGUUCGGGAGAGGUGAGUGGAACUGCGAGUGUAGAGGUGAAAUUCGUAGAUAUUCGCAAGAACACCAGUGGCGAAGGCGGCUGACUGGUCCGGAUCUGACGCUGAGGCGCGAAAGCGUGGGGAGCAAACAGG
rnacentral:rRNA from 1 species